GCAUGACACAGGACAUAAUGAGUGAGUAGUACCUUCAUUCAAGAAACGUAUUCUAACUAAAAGUUUAUCUGCUCUAAAGCUGAUACAAUGCUACUGUUCUGUGGCACAGAAAUUUGAUAUCUUUGAGCUAUGAAUGAUGUUUGUCAGAAGACUUAUAGUUUGGUUCAGAUAACUCCUUUUUUGUAGCCUAAUAGCAAUCAUAUGUUUAAAAAUUAAAAAUGUGGUUUCAUAUUUGAAAGUAAUAUCCAAUUAUGAAAUUGAGAUAAUUCAGUCUGAAGGAAGCAACCUGUAUAUUGUAAUAUCUCAGAAAUGUACUAAUAGGUUUUCUGAAAUGUUCUCUAUGCAUUUUUUAAAAAAAUGUAAACUUGACAUUUUAGGGUCUUCAGUUAUAAAUACACCUGUUAUAAGGUGUUUAACAUAGCUCAGGAAAGUGAGCAUUUUGUGAGAGAAAUGUAUGAUAGUGCUCGUAAGACCUUGGUUGAAUGUUUUCAAACGUUAUGAAGCUGUUUUAAAAAUAAAGAUAUAACUAUCAAAGUACUUAGAACGUUGAUGAAUGUUGAAGUGGCUGUUAAGGAGGGCACACAGAGCCAGGAUCCAAUCUGGAGAGAUCCGUGGAGUAGGAGAGGUAGCACUCAGCCUUGUGUAACUCUAGGUUUCUUGUGUGAUAUGCUAAACACAUGCAUUCUCUUUUGUUAUAUUACUAAUGUCUGUGGUGCCUGAGGCAUCGUGUGUAAAGGAAUGCUUUGCUCUCUCUAAGUCUUUAUUUAAACUAUUAGUAAUUAUUUAAAUUAAAAUUUUACUUAAAAACCAAAUUGAAAUAAUUAAAAGUAGAACUUUAUAAAUUGUUUAUGAACAGUUUCAUGAAAGGAUAUUAGUCUCCAGUGAACUUUAGUGAUGGCUCAUGCUUUAAGUUUGGAAUUACAUAGCUACAAUAAAUACAACUUUAAAAAUCAAAGAGCAUCUGUACAGUUUAGAAACACU
rnacentral:lncRNA from 1 species